rnacentral:miRNA from 1 species
CCAAAGGUGGCUCGCGGAACUG